rnacentral:rRNA from 1 species
UGCAAGUCGAACGGUAACGCGGAGAGCUUGCUCUCUGGCGACGAGUGGCGGACGGGUGAGUAACGCGUGGGAAUCUGCCUAGUAGUGGGGGACAACUCGAGGAAACUCGAGCUAAUACCGCAUACGCCCUACGGGGGAAAGCGGGGGAUCUUCGGACCUCGCGCUAUUAGAUGAGCCCGCGUCGGAUUAGCUAGUUAGUGAGGUAAAAGCUCACCAAGGCGACGAUCCGUAGCUGGUCUGAGAGGACGAUCAGCCACACUGGGACUGAAACACGGCCCAGACUCCUACGGGAGGCAGCAGUGGGGAAUAUUGGACAUGGGGGAAACCCUGAUCCAGCAAUGCCGCGUGUGUGAAGAAGGCCUGCGGGUUGUAAAGCACUUUCAGUGAGGAAGAAAAGCCUGGGGUUAAUACCCCCGAGUCUUGACGUUACUCACAGAAGAAGCACCGGCUAACUCCGUGCCAGCAGCCGCGGUAU